GACCUGUGUGUGUGUGUGUGUGUGUGUGUGUGUGUGUGUUUGUGUGUGCGCGCGUGCACACACACACACACACACACACACACACACACACACACACACA
ensembl:miRNA Gm25063 predicted gene, 25063